AUCGCUUCUCGGCUCACCUGAGCUAAGAUCAAAUGUGUAGUAUCUGUUCUUAUCAGCUUAAUAUCUGAUACAAUCCCCACAGGGGAUUCAGAAUAUUAAAGCGAUUUUUGAAAUCAGGCGGUGGACUGGAGCUUGCUCUGGCCUUGCCACGGGUCGCUCUGACAUUGCAGUGACGUUAGAGUUGGCCUUAUAAAU
rfam:Camponotus floridanus CamFlo_1.0_4.contig5420, whole genome shotgun sequence.